rnacentral:sRNA from 1 species
CAAUGAAAUAUUUGCCUUCGGCAAAUGUGAAAUAUUAUGCGGCUUAUGCCGCAUAAUGUGAAAUAUCGCUUCGCGAUGUGAAAUAUUGG